CGCCAGACUCCUACGGGAGGCAGCAGUGGGGAAUAUUGCACAAUGGGGGAAACCCUGAUGCAGCGACGCCGCGUGAGUGAAGAAGUAUUUCGGUAUGUAAAGCUCUAUCAGCAGGGAAGAAAAUGACGGUACCUGACUAAGAAGCCCCGGCUAACUACGUGCCAGCAGCCGCGGUAAUACGUAGGGGGCAAGCGUUAUCCGGAUUUACUGGGUGUAAAGGGAGCGUAGACGGCAUGGCAAGUCAGAUGUGAAAGCCCGGGGCUCAACCCCGGGACUGCAUUUGAAACUGUCAGGCUGGAGUGCAGGAGAGGUAAGUGGAAUUCCUGGUGUAGCGGUGAAAUGCGUAGAUAUUAGGAGGAACACCAGUGGCGAAGGCGGCUUACUGGACUGUAACUGACGUUGAGGCUCGAAAGCGUGGGGAGCAAACAGGAUUAGAUACCCUGGUA
rnacentral:rRNA from 1 species